GGCGGCGUGCCUAACACAUGCAAGCCGUACGAGAAAAUCUACUUCGGUGGAUGAUUAAAGUGGCGCACGGGUGAGUAACGCGUGGAUAAUCUGCCCUUCAGUUGGGAAUAACUCAUCGAAAGGUGGGCUAAUACCGAAUAAUGCUGUACAACUUAAGUUGCACAGCCAAAGAUAGCCUCUGCAUGCAAGCUUUCGCUGAAGGAUGAGUCCGCGUACCAUUAGCUUGUUGGUAGGGUAAUGGCCUACCAAGGCGACGAUGGUUAGCUGGUCUGAGAGGAUGAUCAGCCACACUGGAACUGAGACACGGUCCAGACUCCUACGGGAGGCAGCAGUGAGGAAUCUUGCGCAAUGGGGGAAACCCUGACGCAGCAACGCCGCGUGAGUGAGGAAGGUCUUCGGAUCGUAAAGCUCUGUCAGGUGGAAAGAAAUGUAUGAAGGUUAAUAGCCUUUGUACUUGACGGUACCACCAAAGGAAGCACCGGCUAACUCCGUGCCAGCAGCCGCGGUAAUACGGGGGGUGCAAGCGUUGUUCGGAAUUAUUGGGCGUAAAGAGCGUGUAGGCGGCUGAAUAAGUCAGAUGUGAAAGCCCUGGGCUCAACCCGGGAAGUGCAUUUGAAACUGUUCAGCUCGAGUAAGGGAGAGGAAAGUGGAAUUCCUGGUGUAGAGGUGAAAUUCGUAG
rnacentral:rRNA from 1 species